UGAGGAAUAUUGGGCAAUGCCCGCAAGGGUGACCCAGCAACGCCGCGUGGAGGAUGAAUGUCGUAAGAUUGUAAACUCCUGUUAGAGGGGAAGAAUAGUACCGGUUGGACCGGUAUAUGACUGUACCCUCAGAGAAAGCCCCGGCUAACUACGUGCCAGCAGCCGCGGUAAUACGUAGGGGGCAAGCGUUGUCCGGAUUUACUGGGUGUAAAGGGCGCGCAGGCGGGAUAAAAAGUCAGAGGUGAAAUCCUACAGCUUAACUGUAGAACUGCCUUUGAUACUUUUAUUCUUGAGUUCGGGAGAGAGAGACGGAAUUCCAGGUGUAGUGGUGAAAUACGUAGAUAUCUGGAAGAACACCAGUUGCGAAGGCGGUCUCUUGGUCCGACACUGACGCUGAGGCGCGAAAGCGUGGGGAGCAAACA
rnacentral:rRNA from 1 species